AUACGGAGGAUCCGAGCGUUAUCCGGAUUUAUUGGGUUUAAAGGGUGCGCAGGCGGCCAUUUAAGUCAGCGGUUAAAUCGUGGGGCUCAACCCCAUUCUGCCGUUGAUACUGGGUGGCUUGAUUGCGGUCGAGGUUGGCGGAAUUCGUUGUGUAGCGGUGAAAUGCAUAGAUAUGACGAAGAACACCGAUUGCGUAGGCAGCUGACCAGAUCGCAAAUGACGCUCAUGCACGAAAGUGCGGGGAUCGAACAGGAUUAGAUACCCUGGUAGUCCGCACAGUAAACGAUGAAUACUUGUUUUCGGCGAUAUAAUGUCGGAGGCAAAGCGAAAGCGAUAAGUAUUCCACCUGGGGAGUACGCCGGCAACGGUGAAACUCAAAGGAUUUGACGGGG
rnacentral:rRNA from 1 species